rnacentral:misc_RNA from 1 species
ACAUCCCCUUGCCCAGCCCCGACUCACUUCCGCUCUCGCCUCUCUCCUCGUCGGCUCUGUUGCGCAGUCUCCACCCCCUCAUCACUGCACCCAAUGCCCACCCUCACGUCGCUCUACCAAAAGGUUCGCUCGCGUGUGGAGAGAGCGGAAUGGCGGGUGACGGGUCUCGUCUAUGCCAUCCUGCAGUUCAUCGCGUUCUUCUUCGUGCUGGUCGCUACGCCGCUCGGCAUGUUUCUUUUAAAAAAAGCUUAUCGUCGCCACAACCUCGGCAUUUGCUACACCCUAUGGGGGGUGAAAAAUAAUUGCACUGACCUCACUAUCACCGCCUCCUACGACAAUCUUUGGGGCCUUUGCCCUGGCCGCCGCGACCGCUUCCGCGCUGCACAGGCAUUCGCUGUCAUCUCCAUAUUCGUGUACGGCACGGCGUUCGUCUUGGGCCUCAUUGCGCUGUGCUGCUGCGCCUGCCUCCGCUGGGUCUGCCUGGCGCUCAACGUUGCCGGCAUCGCCACCCUGUGCAUCGUCUGGGCGUCCAUGGUGGUGACCUUCAACAAGUAUGAAGGCCCCGGUUGCCCGGCGAUGAAUGAACUGACGGCAUUUGGUGCCGGCUUCGCUCUCUUGGUGGUGGCCUGGUGCCUGGAUAUCGUCAACAUCGUUUUCUUGCUCCUUACCAGCAGCGAUGCGGACUCUCGUCAGAGAGAUAUGUUUGGUUUUCCUCAAGGCGCGGAGAGGAGGAAGUGAAGUGAAGGAAGCGGCCGGCGAGCCUGACAGCAGCGCGGCACACACACCGUGACGCCCUCGUGGAGGAGCCGGCGGAGCUGAUCGCAGCGAGAGAGAGGGAGCGGAUGCCGCUGACCCUCGCCGGCCCACCUCUCUCGCUGCCUUCUCGUGCGUGCGUGUGCGCUUCCUCUGGGGUCGUUCUCCCCCUCCCUCCAAAUGCCGGUGCCGUGCACGGCGACCUGCGCUGUGUGGUGGGCAACGCGCGCCUGGCGCCGACAAGCCCAUCCAUGCCCCGUCCCCCCUCUAAGCCCCUCGCCCUCGCUGCCGUGUCGGAGUCGCCUCCCUGACGCUCGCCCGGCGCUCCGUUGGCGAUGUGAGGGCGCGAAGGAGGGGCGGGUGGCCGAGGUGGGCACGGAGGGCAAAGACAGCGGCGCGGAGAAACGGACGCCCUCGCACGGAGGACGGGAGGCGCCGCGCCACGCCGCAUCGGUCACCCACCCCCGCCCCUUCCACACCCCGUAGUCGCCAUGGCGCGUCUCUCUGGUGUCUCCGCACCACCCCGCGCCCCUGGCGGCACACCCGCGACGGGAAGAGGCACCACAGCGGCACGAAGACGCAGGCCGAGCACGGUCCCCCCCCUCCUACACACACGCGCACGCAUAUGCUGCCGGUGUUUCCGUUUCUGUUUUCGUGCUUUCGCUUGAUUUGACGCUCGCAUGUUUCCUUCGAUUUCUCUCGUUUUCGUCUCUCUCCCUAUGCAGAGUCGCAUGGACGUGUGCGUGUGCGUGCCCCUCUGCCAUUUUCCCGUUGUGUCUCCGUGCCGCUGCCCUGCUCCUCGUCUUCCCCGCCCCCUCCAUGCGCGUGUGCGUGUGCGGGCGAGGCGGCUGAUCGAGGGGACGACGAGGUGGAGAGCAGCCACGGCACCGCAGCGCUGGGGAUACAUGGGCAGUGUGCAGGAGCAGCGGAGGAGAGGCACGCACACGCACUCUGGCAAGGGAGUAGUGGUGCGGAGGCCGCAGGGGAAUACGCAGCGGAGCGAGUGGGUACGGAGGCGGAGCGGAGGAGAGGCAGCGCUGCUUCUCUGUUCGCCCCGCUUGCGUUGGACUCGAGUGUGUCUGCGUGUGCGCCCCCUGCGGCCCUCGGCCCCCUCGCCUCUCUUGCGCGCUUCGCGUCGCUUGUUUCGUUGCUGUGGCUGUCUAACUACGCCAUCGAGUCGGCCAGAGUCGCGUGCGCGGAGUAUUCAGACCACAUUACGGCAUGCGGCAUGCACCUACACCAGCCCCUGCGGCCUGCACGGCAGACGCCGCCGCCUCCGCCCUCGAGCAGGACCCUGCACCGGGGUCCGUGUGGCGCCGGUCGCGCUGCACGCGUGCGAGGGCGAUACGCGGAGGGACAAGGCGAGCCCGCUAGCAGCAUGGGCCGACUCGACGGCUGAACGGCUCGUCGUGGACGGCGCGGAUGUGGCCGCCGUGCGGCAGGGGUGGGUGGGCUGCGGCUGUAUGCGUGCACGUGUGGACUCGGUCGUGAUGGAGUGAGACGUUGAUAAGGAAGUGCUCUGCUUUCCCUGGCAAGCACGCGAAGGAGGAGGUAACCACGGCAACCACAAAACGACACGUAUAUACAUACAUAUAUACAUAUAUAUCAUCAUCCAUGUCGGCGUGCGCCAACAGACCAUCAAAACGCCCCGGACUUUGUUUUCCCCGCCGACCGCCGCCCCCGUGUGCUAGCCCGAGCGGACGGAGCGCGUGCGCCCUUUUCUCCUCGCGCUUCUCCAUUGCUUGUUUUUUGCUUUCUGUCUUUUGUUGUUGUCUCCGUUCCUCGACUGACUCACCCCAACAGCGUCACCGCCGCCGUUGCCGCCCCCCUCUUCUCCGAGAUGGGUGGGGCACGGGGAGCGCCGAGCUCUCUGGUGCUGCGAAGCGGUAGGGCUGCGCUCUGCGCGUGCGCUCUCGCGUGUCUGUGCGUGUACACACGUGUAUGGCCGUGCGCGUGAAUAUGUGUACCUGUGCGCGCGUGCGCCUUGUGGCGGCGCAGGCCCUGUCUGCAUGGAUGCCUCUUGAUCUGCCCCUCUCUCCUCUGCCUGGUGCACCUUCGCGCACGCCUCACGGGUGCCUCUCGGAGAAGCACGGUGAUGGAGUGGGGCAGCCCAGACGUGAACGCGGACACCGGCACACGGGAGCCAGGAGCGCACAUGCGCGCACAAAGGCAAUCAUUCUGCUAUACUGGCGAAAGGCAGCGCUGAGAAGCAUUGCCUGCAGCCGUGUGCGUGCUGUAGGCGGCACGGGUGGUGCUGCUGCGUCCGCAUCGCCUGAGGCAACUCUGCUGUGUGGUUGCUCCCUUGUGUCCUCGCCACUCUCCCCCGCAUUUCUCUCACUGUCCCUCCCUCUCUCCUCCCCCGCUUUCACUCCUGCCCACACCCCACGCCCCACACCCGUCCCCCUCUCACGACACACACACGCACGCACACAUGAACGGCACCGUGUGCGUGCACGCGCAACAACAACGACAACAG